UACGUAGGGCGCAAGCGUUAUCCGGAAUUAUUGGGCGUAAAGAGCUCGUAGGCGGUUUGUCGCGUCUGCCGUGAAAGUCCGGGGCUCAACUCCGGAUCUGCGGUGGGUACGGGCAGACUAGAGUGAUGUAGGGGAGACUGGAAUUCCUGGUGUAGCGGUGAAAUGCGCAGAUAUCAGGAGGAACACCGAUGGCGAAGGCAGGUCUCUGGGCACUAACUGACGCUGAGGAGCGAAAGCAUGGGGAGCGAACGGG
rnacentral:rRNA from 1 species